UAAAUUGUACCUGCUGCCCUUCUCUGUGU
rnacentral:piRNA from 1 species